UGGGUUUAAAGGGAGCGUAGGCUGUUUGUUAAGCGUGUUGUGAAAUGUAAGAGCACAACUUUUAGAUUGCAGCGCGAACUGGCAGACUUGAGUGCGCACAACGUAGGCGGAAUUCAUGGUGUAGCGGUGAAAUGCUUAGAUAUCAUGACGAACUCCGAUUGCGAAGGCAGCUUACGGGAGCGCAACUGACGCUAAAGCUCGAAGGUGCGGGUAUCGAACAGGAUUAGAUACCCUGGUAGUCCGCACAGUAAACGAUGGAUGCCCGCUGUUAGCACCUAGUGUUAGCGGCUAAGCGAAAGCAUUAAGCAUCCCACCUGGGGAGUACGCCGGCAACGGUGAAACUCAAAGGAAUUGACGGGGGCCCGCACAAGCGGAGGAACAUGUGGUUUAAUUCGAUGAUACGCGAGGAACCUUACCCGGGCUUGAAUUGCAGAUGUUUAUAUCAGAGAUGAUAUAUUCCCUUCGGGGCAUUUGUGAAGGUGCUGCAUGGUUGUCGUCAGCUCGUGCCGUGAGGUGUCGGCUUAAGUGCCAUAACGAGCGCAACCCCUUUUUUUAGUUGCCAUCAGGUAGUGCUGGGCACUCUAGAGAUACUGCCACCGUAAGGUGUGAGGAAGGAGGGGAUGACGACAAAUCAGCACGGCCCUUA
rnacentral:rRNA from 1 species